CACCGCGUAGUGUAAUGGUUAGCACGCUCGAUUCGCAAUCGAGUGGGCCCGGGUUCGAGUCCCGGGGGCGGUGA
rnacentral:tRNA from 1 species